rnacentral:rRNA from 1 species
UACAGAGGUCCCAAGCGUUGUUCGGAUUCACUGGGCGUAAAGGGUGCGUAGGUGGCCGGGUAAGUCUGAGGUGAAAUCUCCAAGCUCAACUUGGAAACGGCCUUGGAUACUAUCCGGCUCGAGGAUCGGAGGGGAGACUGGAAUUCUCGGUGUAGCAGUGAAAUGCGUAGAUAUCGAGAGGAACACCAGUGGCGAAGGCGAGUCUCUGGACGAUUCCUGACACUGAGGCACGAAAGCCAGGGGAGCAAAC